rnacentral:rRNA from 1 species
UGGGGAAUAUUGGACAAUGGGCGAAAGCCUGAUCCAGCCAUGCCGCGUGUGUGAAGAAGGUCUUCGGAUUGUAAAGCACUUUAAGUUGGGAGGAAGGGCAGUAAGCGAAUACCUUGCUGUUUUGACGUUACCGACAGAAUAAGCACCGUCUAACUCUGUGCCAGCAGCCGCGGUAAUACAGAGGGUGCAAGCGUUAAUCGGAAUUACUGGGCGUAAAGCGCGCGUAGGUGGUUCGUUAAGUUGAAUGUGAAAGCCCCGGGCUCAACCUGGGAACUGCAUCCAAAACUGGCGGGCUAGAGUAGGGCAGAGGGUGGUGGAAUUUCCUGUGUAGCGGUGAAAUGCGUAGAUAUAGGGAGGAACACCAGUGGCGAAGGCGACCACCUGGGCUCAUACUGACACUGAGGUGCGAAAGCGUGGGGAGCAAACAGG